AUUUAUGAUAAGUUAAGGACAAAAUUAUUUUGGGAUACAAAGUCGGGAUUCUUGACCUUCGAAUUUAUUUUGAGAUAUAAGUUGUGCAUGAAUUUAUUGGUAUGGAACAAUUAGGAAAAUUUGGGACCAAAGGUGAUAAAAUUUGAAGUGGAAAGUCAUCCACAAAUUCCAUGUGGUGCCCACACAACUUUGUGUCAUCUUCUAAGUGGAACAACUCAUUAUGUGGGCCAAGGCACCCUUGACUAAGUCUUGCAUUGUUAAAAAGAUGACCACUUCAUUUCACUUCACUCCAACUCUUAAAAAAAAGAAGGAAUUGAAGAGCACCACAAUAAGGGGGCUCUCGGCCAGCCCAAGGAAAAAUCCACCCCCAUUUCUUGCUCUUCCAAAAUUAUUUCCUUGGUACAAACCCACUAUUUUGAGGUCCCUAAGUAGCGUGGGAGUGUCGUUGGAGCGAUCAACCCAUUAUUUUUCAUCCAUUGGAAACCCUAGCAUUUUGUGGAAUUGAAGAGGAUAGAUCGUGGGCAGCCCGAAUCAUAGGUUGGAUUUAGCUUGAGUUUGGAUCGUAUUGGAGAGCGUUUGAGGUACGGACGCACAGCCUGGUGAUCCACCUGUUUAGGACACCCUUUCUGCUAUUCGGAGUGCUCCUCUCUUUCCGGAGCUUAUACUUUUGGUAUAUAUAUUUAUUAGUGCAUUUGUAUAUAUUCGUUCAUGGGUACGGCGGGGCCCUGUCCCGUCAUAUGAUUCUGUCGGUCUGUUUAGAGGUCUGUGGACAUGUUUGUGGGUUAGGGUCUUUCUGUAUGGAUGUAUGUACAUGUCGUUUGGGCGAUCCCAUACACCGAGGCGGCCGGUCCGCAUAUGUUUAUAUAUUGCUUGGUUAGCCCUGUGUGGCUUUUGUUGGUAUUUUCUGCGUGCAGGGUAUAUUGGAUAGUCCGUAAAACAAAGGAAACUCUGCCGAAAUUUUUCUGGAAAUUACCUAAAUUUGAAAUAAAGCCUUGUCGGCUUCCGCCAUAUACUAGAAUGAGUUGAUAGAAU